AGGAGGAAGGGAGGAGCGACCAACCCUCUCCAACACACCCAAGUGACCAGAUUCAUCAUAGCACGAAACUUCACAAGUUACACCCACUGCCUCCGCCAGCAGCCGGGGAAGGCUGCCGCUUCCUCAUUUCUGUUACUGGAAGUUUCAGAGAUGUGAAGCCAGACGGGAGAAAAGUGCGCGCCUUGUUGAGCAGCGGUGGAGUCACUGUGGACUGAGGCCCACGUUUCUAGACUUGAAGCCCAGGAAGGAGGAAGAGAAGGCUGGUUGCUACCAUGGGGUAUGAUGCUCUGAAUCCUAGUCUCUCACCUAGGAUGUGAGCAGUCCCUACAGAUGGCACAUUUGGAGAUCUUGACAAAGCUUCUUCUGUCUCCAAUGGGUUACGUAGAAACCCCAGCUCAUUUCUCUUGGAAAGAAAGUUACGACCGAUCCACCAUGUCCGGGAGCACGUAGACAAAUGAAUUCCUCAGUCCCGAGUUUUCCAGCAUAUCUGGGAGUUUCUGGAACAGCCUAUAUGUUCAGUUCAGCCCAUUGACUUGAACUUUGUGGAUGAACCAUCAGAGGAUGGUGCAACAAACAAGAUUGAGAUUAGCAUGGACUGUAUCCGCAUGCAGGACUCCGACCUGAGUGACCAUGUGGGCCAGAAAACCAGUGCACACCUGUUUAUUUUUCCAUUAUCACUAUGUUCAGCAGCACUAAAUGGAUUAUAACAGAGCUUCCUUCUCCAGUGACCCACAGGUGAGAAAACAAAAUUCUGGUUAAUAGGCAAAGAAAAACAAGAAAAGUCUGUCACUUCUAAGGUGCAUUAUCAGAUUAGAAGGUGUCUUCCUAUAACUUCUCUCACAUCCACAUUUUAUAUACAAGGAACUGUGGCUCAGAGACAAGUUAUUCAAUUUGCCCCAGCUAACAUAGCUAAAUAAGCAUCAAAGCCAAAGAGACAGCCCAGAAUUUGAGCCCAAGUGAGCAUAUCUUCUUAAAAGGGAGACCACAGCUUAUUCAUCAUCACAUUACCAGCAAAUGUCCAAUGCAGUUCCUAGCCCACAGUAAGCACCAAGUGUUUGUUGAAUGAAUGAGGGAAUACUUUAUUGUUAAUAAAGAAUGUAGGCCAGGUGGGAUGGCUAGCACCUGUAAUCUCAGCACAUUCAGAGACCAAGGCCGGCAGAUCACCUGAGGUCAGGAGCUCUAGGAUAUGCCUGGCCAACAUGGUGAAACCCCAUCUCUACUAAAAUUACAAAAAUUAGCCAGGCUUGGUGGUGGGCGCCUGUAAUCCCAGAUCCAUGGGAGGCUGAGGCAGGAGAAUCACCUGAACAUAGAAGGCAGGGGUCGGAGUGAGCCGAGAUCACCCUGAAUUCCAGCCUGGGCAACAGAGUGAGACACCAUCUCAAAAAAAAAAAAAAAA